GGGGGCUUAGCUCAGAUUUGGUAGAGCGUCUGAUUUGCAUUCAGAAGGUCAGGAGUUCGAAUCUCCUAGCCUCCA
rnacentral:tRNA from 1 species